rnacentral:rRNA from 1 species
UACGAAGGGGGGCUAGCGUUGUUCGGAAUUACUGGGCGUAAAGCGAACGUAGGCGGUGUUCCAUGUCAGAGGUGAAAGCCUGGGGCUCAACUCCAGAAUUGCCUUUGAAACGGGAACGCUUGAGUCCGAGAGAGGAUGGCGGAAUUCCUAGUGUAGAGGUGAAAUUCGUAGAUAUUAGGAAGAACACCGGUGGCGAAGGCGGCACUCUGGGACGGUACUGACGCUGAGACGCGAAAGCGUGGGGAGCGAACAGG